rnacentral:lncRNA from 1 species
CGCGCGGGGCUCCGACGGGGGCGGCGGCCGCGCGGCCGGUAUAUGCUCCGAGGGUGGCUAGCUGCCCCGUGGAAGAAGCUACAAGAUAUCAACGAGCCGCUGUAAUAAAGCAGAAGUAUUUGACACUGAGAGUGUAGAGCUAUAUAGUUUCUUUUUUAUUAUGAAUGGGGUGGUGGGUAUGGGGCAGGACAGGAGGGACACACUGAAGUUCAAAAGCGAGAUGUACUAACGUACUGCUUUGGAGUUUAAGAAGCUGAAGGCAAUGAUGAAGCUCAAGAGGAGGAGAAGCUAGUGUGAUCAGUCUGCCUGCCUCUGUGAUCCCCCGCAGCACUGGCUGGAAGUCCGCCGCGUGUCAGUGAGGAGCUGCUGCAGAAGGAAGAAGAAGAAGCGGCGUGGGGACCUGGGAGGCAGGAGCAAGCAAGAAGAGGAAGCGGAAGCGUGCAGAUGUGGGGGGGAAGGAGAGAGGCUCCCUGGGCAAAGCACCUGUCCCGUUAGCAGGGGCACAGUCACGUUUGAGUUGAGAGCUGCCGGCGCCUUUGGUGACCAGGCUGGCGUUGUGCUGGGCGACCUCCCCGUAAGCGGGGCUCGGGUCUUUGCUGUAGUUGGCCUUUUGCCUUGCUGCUCCUUUGGCUGCCUGGGGAGCGUGGCCCCCUGUAACGGAGGGCGAGAGCCACCUCUCCGCACCUGAGUGGGAAAUGGAGCUCGCCGGACCCCGAGGCCACCCUGUAAGCAGGGUAGUGCCGUUUCCCUGCCCCUCUUCCUCCCCCGGCCCCUCGGCAUCGUUGCCUGAUGGUGGCUUGUCAAUGCGACGGCCCCGUACUCGGGGUGUGCGUCACGGCAUUUGGCCGUUGGCUUUACCUGAGAAGCCCCUUGGCACGUUGAGGUCUGUGGCCUCCGUGCAGCCUAGGGACAGGUCACAGGCUCUUGUCUGUUGCCCGUGGUUGUGGGUUUAUUCCCAGGUGUUGGCUGUGCUGCGUUGUCCUUCCCUUCUGGAAAGUCGUGCCUGUGUGUGCGUGUUCCCCUUCCUUUCCUUGAUUGUGUUUGUGGAGUGGUUGAGCGGCUGUGCUUUCCCUUUAGGCCUCCACAAAGAUGGCUGCAGCUUAGCUUUGACUUCCCAGGGGGGAAUGGAGGACUUUGGUGCAUGCCGCAAAAGGGGUGUUCCCUCUUAGUCCUGCGAGCGCAGCGAGUGUCCUGUCUUCCUACUAUUUUCCUUAGUGCAGAUCAGAGCCACACGGUAGUUCUGUGGCCAAGGCCUCCCUGUAGCCAGGGCUUGGGCCUGUCCUUGCGUGGCCGCCUGUCCUGCUGGCGGCGGUGACAGCCCCGUACUCGGGGUGUGUGUCCCAAGCUUCGGAGCCCUCUGUCCCUGAGCAGCCCGCCCGCCCUGUAAUCAGGUGUGGGGAGGCUGCAGCGUUGCAGCCGGCUGCUUUAGCCAUCCAGCUGGUGGGAGUGACCCCUCCCUGUCCCGUCAGAGGGUGCAGGUUGAGGUGCUGUUUGUGUGUGGGGUGACCUCCCCGCUCGGUGGGUCGAGGUAGCUCCCUGGGCUUCCAAAGACGAGACGUUGGUGAUGUUCUGGUGCUGCCGGGCGGGCCAGCCUGUAACUCAGGCGUUGGCGGGAGCCUCGUGCUCCGCGGGGCUUCUUGAAGAGGGUGAGGUGUGGGGGUACCGUCCUGUAGGCAGGGCUGUGUGUGCCCCCCGUGUGUGCUUGGUGAGCUGCGUUCUGAGAGACCCCCUGUACUCAGGUGGGAAUGUGGCCCCGGCCUUUCAGAGGCGCGGGGCCGUGAGAUGCGGGGUGGGGCUUGCGCCCUCCCUGGAAUCGGGGCUGGGAUCCCGACUGCGGCCUUUGGCCGUGCCGCCCCGCUGCCUGGCUGCUGAGAGUUGCUCCUGCCGCUGGGGGGGAAACCGAGCUCUGUGGCUCCAGGGGUGUUGUCCACCCGCCUGUAAUCAGGGUCUGGGUGCGUGAGCGUUUGUGCUCUGCUGGCAGCCUGUGUGGGGUGACCGCCCCGCUAGCGGGGUGUGGGUCGAGGUGCCCCGGACUGGGAGAGAAGGAGCCUCCCUCGGCCGUAGGGAUGGGGGCUGCCCUGUAAGUCAGGGAGCAUCUGUGUCCCGGAGUCCCAGGCCCUUUUCGAUGGCGGCAGUGGCCGGGGGUCCCCUGUAAGCAGGGAAGCUGACUCUUUGGCUGCUGCUUUUUGUGUGCCCAGCCCCAUUUGCCCAGUCUGCCCGCCUCUGUGAUCCCCCGCAGCACUGGC